UACGGGGGGGGCAAGCGUUGUUCGGAAUUACUGGGCGUAAAGGGCGCGUAGGCGGCCUUCUAAGUCGGACGUGAAAUCCCUCGGCUUAACCGAGGAACUGCGUCCGAGACUGAAAGGCUUGAAUCCGGGAGAGGGAUGUGGAAUUCCAGGUGUAGCGGUGAAAUGCGUAGAUAUCAGAUAGAACACCAAUGGCGAAGGCAGUUACCUGGCUCAAAACUGACACUAAAGCACGAAAGUGUGGGGAGCAAACAGG
rnacentral:rRNA from 1 species